GACAGAGGGUGCAAACGUUGCUCGGAAUUACUGGGCGUAAAGCGCGCGUAGGCGGCGCGGUAUGUCGUGCGUGAAAUCUCCCGGCUUAACUGGGAGGGGCCGUGCGAAACUGCCGGGCUUGAGGUCGGAAGGGGAAAGUGGAAUUCCGGGUGUAGUGGUGGAAUACGUAGAUAUCCGGAGGAACACCAGCGGCGAAGGCGGCUUUCUGGUCCGAUACUGACGCUGAGGUGCGAAAGCGUGGGGAGCGAUCCGG
rnacentral:rRNA from 1 species